rnacentral:rRNA from 1 species
GAUGAACGCUGGCGGCGUGCUUAAUACAUGCAAGUCGAGCGAACAGACGAGGAGCUUGCUGCUCUUACGUUAGCGGCGGACGGGUGAGUAACACGUGGAUAACCCACCUAUAAGACUGGGAUAACGUCGGGAAACCGGAGCUAAUACUGGAUAACAUGUUGAACCGCAUGGUUCAACAGUAAAAGACGGUCUUGCUGUCACGUAUAGAUGGAUCCUCGCCGCAUUAGCUAGUUGGUAAGGUACCGGCUUACCAAGGGAACGAUGCGUAACCGGCCUGAGCGGGGGAUCGGCGACAGUGGAACUGAGACACGGUCCAGGCUCCUGCGGGAGGCGGCAGUAGGGAGUGUGCCGCAAUGGGCGAAAGCCUGACGGAGCAACGCCGCGUGAGUGAUGAAGGUCUUCGGAUCGUAAGUCGCAAUUAUUAGGGAAGAACAGAUGUGUAGGUAAUUAUGCACGUCGUGACGGUACUUAAUCAGAAAGCCACGGCUAACUACGUG